UACGGAGGGUGCAAGCGUUAUCCGGAUUCACUGGGUUUAAAGGGUGCGUAGGCGGUCGGGUAAGUCGGAUGUGAAAUCUCAGGGCUCAACCCUGAAACUGCAUUCGAUACUGCCUGGCUAGGGUACUGGAGAGGAGACUGGAAUUUACGGUGUAGCAGUGAAAUGCGUAGAUAUCGUAAGGAAGACCAGUGGCGAAGGCGAGUCUCUGGACAGUUACCGACGCUGAGGCACGAAGGUCAGGGGAGCAAACGGG
rnacentral:rRNA from 1 species